rnacentral:misc_RNA from 1 species
GAGUCACCCCGCUAUGGCAAAGAAGACGCCCUCGUCAGGAAGCCUGCAGGUUCUCGAGCGAGGACGGACGAGGACGAUGACAUCAUGCAUGAUCUCGAUGAGAUGAUCUUCGGAACCAAGGGAGGGAGCAGUACAGAGGAUCGUGACCCGAAGAAGCAGCAGAAGAAGGACGAUCUAAUCUCUUUCUGAUUAUUUCGUACCGUAUAUUAUGUCGGAUUAGGGUUUGG